rnacentral:rRNA from 1 species
GUGAGGAAUUUUGCGCAAUGGGGGCAACCCUGACGCAGCGACGCCGCGUGGAGGACGAAGUCUUUCGGGAUGUAAACUCCUGUCAGUGGGGACGAUAAUGACGGUACCCACAGAGGAAGCACCGGCUAACUCCGUGCCAGCAGCCGCGGUAAGACGGAGGGUGCAAGCGUUGUUCGGAAUUACUGGGCGUAAAGCGUAUGUAGGCGGCAAGUUAAGUUCAAUGUUAAAGCCCACGGCUCAACCGAGGAGAUGCAUUGAAUACUGGCUAGCUAGAGGGUGUUAGAGGAAGACGGAAUUCCCAGUGUAGCGGUGAAAUGCGUAGAUAUUGGGAGGAACAUCGGUAGCGAAAGCGGUCUUCUGGGACAUACCUGACGCUGAGGUACGAAAGCGUGGGGAGCAAACGGGAUUAGAUACCCCGGUAGUCC